AGUCACUGACAUUAGAUACCCCCGUAGUCCCAGCCCGUUAAACUAUGCUCGCUAGGUGUCAGGCAUGGCGCGACCGUGUCUGGUGCCGCAGGGAAGCCGUGAAGCGAGCCACCUGGGAAGUACGGCCGCAAGGCUGAAACUUAAAGGAAUUGGCGGGGAGCACAACAACGGGUGGAGCCUGCGGUUUAAUUGGACUCAACGCCGGGAAGCUCACCGGAUAAGACAGCGGAAUGAUUGCCGGGCUGAAGACUCUGCAUGACUAGCUG
rnacentral:rRNA from 1 species